CGACAGCUCAUCACCUCUGGAUUGUCUUUUUGAAUUUGACUGAUACUAUGAGAUGGACUAUCAGCUCUUUCAAGCAUCUACAGUAUCUUCUGCAGCAUCUGUUCAUGGGUGAAAGGACUUUGAACAACACUUUGUUGACUGCUUUGCACUCCAGUAGAAGUCGAGCAAGCAUUAGUUGAUACGCAUUCAUUCUGUCCGACACUGUUUUCAUUAUUGUUGUCAUUUCUUUUGUACCAAGGUGGGUAUCCAUGUUUAGAAUAGCAUUCAUCAAUGGUAUGAUUCAUCUUAUGACAGUGGGAACAUUGUUUCCCAUAGUUGGGGUUUCUCCCUCUCCCUCUUCCUUAAUUUCUGGGGGAUUUCCACGUCCAUAAGUCUUCCAGCCCUGAUUAUUCUUCCACUGGUUUUGUUUCUCAAUGGUGUUGGCAAGGAUCUUGCUGUCAUUUUGACCAGAAUCGUAUUUCCCUUGUCUUUCUUGUUGUAUGAUGAGUGAAAAGACACGAUUAAUGUUGGGUAGGGGCUUCAUAAGCAAUAUCUGGGUUUUAACAGUGUGGUAGCAU
rnacentral:lncRNA from 1 species